ACGACAUCAGACUUUCGCUGUGACUACUUUUAGGUGGUCUACUCCUUCAAAUUAAUACGCACCCUUUCUUCGGAUUGACAAGGUGCUACUCUUAUACAGAAUGGUAAGCCUGUUUAUAAGCUAGUAUAAGUAGAGUUUAUAGAUAUUGCUGUGCCUAGACCAACGUACAUAUUACAAGACACUCCAGAGUCAGAGUAAUUUAAAGAUCCGCAUAGACGAGCCAACAAUGGAAGAGCUGUCAUGGAAUCUUGUAUAUAUGUAUCAGUAGUUGUUAGUGGACACGGCUUUGAUAGGGAUACG
rfam:Rousettus bat coronavirus HKT10, complete genome